GGCGGUAUUUUAGUCUUUUCAGAGGAACCUGUUCUAUUAUCGAUAAUCCUCGUUUUAUCUUACUUAAUUUUGUUUAUCAGUAUGUAUAUCGCCGUUAUAAGUUUAUUUUUUAAGAAUUAAAAUUUACUAGUUAUUUUAUUAUAUUUUAUUUCAGGUCAAGGUGCAGCUUAUAAUUAAGUAGAGAUGGGUUACAAUAUUAUUUAGAUAAAUGGAUUUAAUGUAUUAAUUAAAGUUUUAAUGAAAGUGGAUUUGAUAGUAAUUUUAAUUAUAGUGUUAUUUUGAUUUUUGAUCUAAAGUAAGUACACAUCGCCCG
rnacentral:rRNA from 1 species